AUUGCUUGAGCCUGGGAGAUGGAGGUUGUAGUGAGCUGAGAUCACGCCACUGCACUCCUGUCUGGGCAACAGAGUGAGACCUUGUCUC
rnacentral:miRNA from 1 species